UACGUAGGGUGCAGGCGUUAAUCGGAAUUACUGGGCGUAAAGCGUGCGCAGGCGGUCUGCUAAGAGAGGUGUGAAAUCCCCCGGGCUUAACCUGGGAACUGCGCUUCUAACUGGGCAGGCUUGAGUGUGGCAGAGGGGGGGUGGAAUUCCGGGCGGUGUCAGCAGUGAAAUGCGUAGAGAAUGCGGAGGAACACCGAUGGCG
rnacentral:rRNA from 1 species